UGAUGGUGGUGAAUUCUCUUUUCCAGGGUCUAAGUGAAGCAUUGGCUAGCUCCCUGAAUGGCUUGGAGAAUGCAUCCCAUAAUUCCAUCAGGCAUGCUUAAGCUGUGCGACUCAGUGUCGUAUUGCAGAUGCCCAGGGACGGGCAUACCCUUCAGAGGGGAGGGUGUAACCCACAUAAAGUGGGGAUAGCCUUUUGGGAAAUAGAGAUUGGGUAGGCGGGGUAGUCUGCCUGGCCAAUGGGAAGUUUGAUUCCCAUGAAUGUUUAGACCAAUCAGAGAGCGGAAUGCCACAGAGGCUCCACCUUCUUUCCCGUGCUGGCAGCGUUGAUUGUGAGCGGGAGAUCCGACCCUGAUCAGACAGCUGAGCCAGAAACCACUAAGAUCAGUUGGAACUGUUGCACUUUCUGGCAGUUGAUUGGCAGUUGUUUUCAGUUCAACUGAAGUGCCCUCCGUGUCUGGAAUGAGAGUCCCUGUCUAGUUGUUUUGAACGUGCUGCACUGAGAUCGAUCAGGUUUUUUUUGUUGUGUUGUUUUUGUUUUUUGCUUUUUCUUCUCUUCUCCUGGAUUGUUCCUGGAGUGGAUUCCUCUACUGACUUUGAUGGCGAGCCUUCCCACCUGGACUUAGAAAGAUCUGGAUUUCCUCCCAUGUUGAGUGAGACCUGAACCAGGAUUUAAUUUGAUUCAUUUGUCAUCUAAAAGAGAUUAGAGUGCAAACUACCAGGGUGCACCCAAUAGAUUUAAAUUUGAUAUUUAGCACUUGGCCAAGUAUUGUUGUUUUUAUUUUAUGUA